rnacentral:rRNA from 1 species
CAGCAGCCGCGGGAAUACGGAGGGUGCAAGCGUUAAUCGGAAUUACUGGGCGUAAAGCGCACGCAGGCGGUUUGUUAAGUCAGAUGUGAAAUCCCCGAGCUUAACUUGGGAACUGCAUUUGAAACUGGCAAGCUAGAGUCUUGUAGAGGGGGGUAGAAUUCCAGGUGUAGCGGUGAAAUGCGUAGAGAUCUGGAGGAACAUCAGUGGCGAAGGCGGUCAUCUGGGACAACACUGACGCUGAGGCACGAAAGCGUGGGGAGCAAACAGGAUUAGAUACCCGCGUAGUCCCUGUCUCUUAUAC